UAAGCGGAGGAAAAGAAACUAACAAGGAUUCCCCUAGUAACGGCGAGUGAAGCGGGAAGAGCUCAAAUUUGUAAUCUGGCACUUUCAGUGUCCGAGUUGUAAUCUCGAGAAGUGUUUUCCGCGCCGGACCGCAUACAAGUCUGUUGGAAUACAGCGUCAUAGUGGUGAGAACCCCGUAACUGAUGCGGAUGCCCGGUGCUUUGUGAUACACUUUCGAAGAGUCGAGUUGUUUGGGAAUGCAGCUCAAAUUGGGUGGUAAAUUCCAUCUAAAGCUAAAUAUUGGCGAGAGACCGAUAGCGAACAAGUACCGUGAGGGAAAGAUGAAAAGCACUUUGGAAAGAGAGUUAACAGUACGUGAAAUUGUUGGAAGGGAAACGAUUGAAGUCAGACUUGUUACCUGGAGUUCAGCCUUUCGGUGUACUCUCCAGUUUACAGGCCAGCAUCAGUUUUCGGGGCGGGAAAAUCGUAAUUAGAAGGUAGCAGCCUAGCUGUGUUAUAGCUUUUUACUGGAUUCCGCUUUGGGGACUGAGGAACGCAGUGUGCUUUUAGCAAUACCCUCGGGUAUUUCACACUUAGGAUGCUGGUGGAAUGGCUUUAAACGACCCGUCUUGAA
rnacentral:rRNA from 1 species